rnacentral:lncRNA from 1 species
CUGGACUCCUACAGUUCUGGUGUGGUGCUUUGACAUUUUACAGUAUUUCUUGCUAUUUUAUCUUCACUCCAAACUUGCUAAACAAAGAGUUACUCUCUGUGUACUCAAAGCUUCGCUUUAAGGAAAUACUUCAUGACCACGUAAAACACACACAUACAGAACAUUUGUUUUGUUUUUUUAAAAAAAUAUUUACAGAAGUCUGUCCAGCCAUUUGGAUUUUGUUUCUUUGCCCAUACUGAGAUCAACAAAAAAGCUAAGUAGUCAGCAAGAUUUCACUUCAGCAGUGCAAAGGGCAUCCACCAAACUCCACUAAACAAACCGACGGACAACAAACGUGCUCAGCAAAACGCGACUCAUCAAAGAGUAAUGUAAAAAACAACACGUAGUGGGUCAUAACUAGACUGGCUCUCACUGCGCAGCUCUCCUUGGGGAUAAUAAUACCCAUUUCACAGAAAGAAAAAAAACAAAAACAAAAUCAAACCUAGGAAUAUGCAUCCAAGCCUUUGCUCAUGAAGAAAAUGCCCUCAAACAAAUUCAUCAUAAGGCAAGAGAGGGGAGAGGAAAAGGAGGGGAAAGGAAAUGCUGUUUGGCCCAGAAAAAUGAAGUUAUUGCUAAUAGGCUAUACACUGUGUGCUGAGAUGGAAGCCAUAGUAACACAGGAUGGAUGGGAAGCUGCCAAGUGCUGGGGUUAACAGCAAGCAUCAGAUGGAUAACACGCCCUCGAAUUCGGAAGGAUGAGCAAACUUCUACUUAAGAAGACGGGGAAAGGCCGAUGCACUGUCCCUUACAGUUUUGCUUAUUUUAAACAAAAGUCCAGUUCACCACAAGUUAAGCACGGGCUGACAAGCAAGCUUAGCUGCAUGACGGAGAGGAAAGUGUAGCAUGCAUUUACAGCUAGGCUGGCCUAGUCUACUGUCAUACAAACUGAAUACAAAAAUCCAAUUUAAAUAAGACUGUUAUAGUAAAAAAAAAGAAAAAAAAGGAAAACAAACCAACACGCACACAGUCGACUUAGCUUGAUACUGAUUGAUUGGAAGAGUCAACCUCAUCAUAUCCUCUAAUUGUCUACUGUAAUCUAUUUGCCAAUAGCUAGAAUAUUUUUACUCACUUAAAAAAGAUAUUAAAUACUUGUAUCAUGAAAUUACAUUCUUAUUAACAAUACAGACAUCCCGGGUAAGAAAAUAGCUCCUGUGUGACUGUCUGAAAUGCAUUUUCCUUACACUACAAAACAUCCACUUGUACAACAUCACCCCCUGGAAAAAGCGAAGGAAAGAUGGGGCAGGCCGGGUGAGCCGGGAGCAGGGAGGGAAAGAUUCAGCUCUCCUAAUUACAGCACAGUGAUUAAUAUGGUUCAAGACAGAACCAACGACAGUUGGUCCAAAAGAUGCCUUCAAUUCAUGGUUACCAUUAAAAACCAAUCUCAACCACUUUUGGUUCAAUUGUAAUGAGACCAAAAACAAAAAACAAAACAAAAAAAC